rnacentral:rRNA from 1 species
GCGUAACACGUGAGUAACCUGCCUUGGAGUGUGGAAUAACACAGCGAAAGUUGUGCUAAUACCGCAUAACAUUUCUGGACCGCAUGAUACCGGAAAUCAAAGCUUUAUGUGCUGAGAGAUGGCCUCGCGUCUGAUUAGCUAGUUGGCGGGGUAACGGCUCACCAAGGCGACGAUCAGUAGCCGGUCUGAGAGGAUGAACGGCCACAUUGGGACUGAGAUACCGGCCCAGACUCCUACGGGAGGCAGCAGGUGGGGAAUAGUUGGGCAAUGGGGGAAACCCUGACCCAGCAACGCCGCGUGAAGGAAGAAGGCCUUCGGGUUGUAAACUUCUUUUACCAGGGACGAAGAACGUGACGGUACCUGGAGAAAAGCGACGGCUAACUACGUG